rnacentral:rRNA from 1 species
AUUGAACGCUGGCGGCAUGCCUUACACAUGCAAGUCGAACGGUAACGGGCCUUCGGGUGCCGACGAGUGGCGAACGGGUGAGUAAUGUAUCGGAACGUACCUUUCAGUGGGGGAUAACGUAGCGAAAGUUACGCUAAUACCGCAUAUUCUGUGAGCAGGAAAGCAGGGGAUCGCAAGACCUUGCGCUGAUUGAGCGGCCGAUAUCAGAUUAGCUAGUUGGUGAGGUAAAGGCUCACCAAGGCGACGAUCUGUAGCGGGUCUGAGAGGAUGAUCCGCCACACUGGAACUGAGACGCGGUCCAGACUCCUACGGGAGGCAGCAGUGGGGAAUUUUGGACAAUGGGGGCAACCCUGAUCCAGCCAUGCCGCGUGAGUGAUGAAGGCCUUAGGGUUGUAAAGCUCUUUUGCCGGGGACGAUAAUGACGGUACCCGGAGAAUAAGUCCCGGCUAACUUCGUGCCAGCAGCCGCGGUAAU